AUGAGAGAGAAAGGGAGACAGAGGGUGUUUUUUUUAUCUCUCUAUUCCUCCUUCCCAUCCACCAAAGCACUAACCACCAUCGUCUCAUCGCCUCAUAUCAAACGGCUACAGAUGCACCGCUGUCUCACAAAGGAUAGCACAUCUAUCAGGGUGUUCCUUCUUAUCAUCUUCCUAUAUGAACCACCAUGUGACCUCGAUCAUCCUGUGACAUCACACCGACACUGAGACAUCACACCAACACUGAGACGGCCAGGAUUCCAGUUUUGAAGAGCCGCAGUCCUCAUUCAGAGGAAGCUAUCACAGGAUCUCCAGACAUCCCAGCCCGAGGACAGCCCCGUUGGUGCACCUGCCUGAAUUGCCAUGAGAUGGCCACUGACCUUGAGAGGAAGUGCUGAGGUGCAGGGCCCAGACAGAUAUGUGAGUAGGACGGCACACAUGGAAACUUCUUUCCUGGAGGAAGGGAUUUAUUUUGCAGCUUGUCCGGUCUACCAGAAAUUACAUUUUGGCUGAUCUGCAGGAUCCAGGCACCGAUCACAAGGAGUACAGCCAUGCAGCAUAAAGACAGUAUGCUGUUUGGCAGUAUGGAACACAAGAAUAGAGUGGUGAUUCCUAGCUAUUGUGACUGGCACGUUCGAGACAAGUAUCCAGAUCCUGUAGGGCAAUACAAAGGCUUUAUUCCUAAUAGGCUGUAGAGCUCUGAUGUCCUCACUCCAGAUGACAGCACAGUACAGCACAGAAAACAGCACAGCACAGUAUAGG
rnacentral:lncRNA from 8 species